rnacentral:lncRNA from 1 species
UGCUUUACAGCCUCACCAAUACAUGGUAUGGUCAGGCCUUAAUUGUAUACAUUCUAAUAGGUGUGUACACAUAUCUUGUUAUAGUUUUGAUUUCCAUUUCCCUGGUAACUAGCGAUGUUGAGCAUUGUUUCAUGAACUUACUUGCCAUCCACAUACAGUCAUUUGUCGCUUAACGAUGGGGAUACAUUCUCGAUAGGAGGGAUUGAAAUGAUAGUGUUUCAACGAUGGGCCUGGGUCCUGGGGUCAGGUCUGAGAGGUCCCCAUGAUUGUUAUCACCCUGUUGGCUCUACCUCCAAAAUAUAUCCAGGGUCAGAUCACCUCCCUUGUCCACACCACCAUCAUCCCUCCUGUGAAUCACAGCAACACCCUCCUAACUCAUCUUUCCACAUCUGUUCUCCUAGAUCUCAUUCUUCAGUAUUCCUCAAGA